GCUCUGGACACCACUGCGGGCGGACGGCAGUGCGGGGGCACGGGCAGGCGAUGCCCCCUUCGUCAGGCUAGAGGGUCGCAGGGUUUAGGAAAAGUGCAAAAUAAAUAUUCGAGAGAGGACAGGAGGUGGCUGGAUGAUGGGAACCAAGACUUUAGCUGCUCUUUCCAGAGCUGGACUAGUCUACAGGUGCAAGGCUUGCACUAGUGCAAGGUUUGCACCAGCUGUAACCAGAACUGAACCAACCGAAGGCAAAUGAUUGAAUAAAUGCCCGCAGCCUGUGACCCAGUGCAGCCAGAAGGAAACUUUGGAAGGGGAGAUAAUACCGUGGAGACAGAUUUUUCUCUUCUCCUGAGCUGAAAUCUCUCAUGAAGCUGAAGCCUGUUGACCAGUUAAAGCUGAUUUUCUUCUGCCCCAGCAACACUAGCCAUAGAUAAAGACUUCUUUGACAGACUUUAUAUAGCAACUAACCUGUACAUUAACACGCGCGGAUUGCAUUGACUUGUUUUGCACAACUGGGUGCUAUUGGGUGGCAAGUCAAUCACAUUUAUUUAUUACUUUAAAAUUAAAACCAGAAAAUAAUAUCCGUCAUCCCUUAGGGGAUACUUGAAAAAGCCGAGUUUCACCCAGCUUCGCAUGGAGAGUUCAUGCGGUUUUAAUUUCAAAUACAAAGAAUAUAUAGCUUGGUUGGGGGGUGACAUCACCUUCCUUAGA